rnacentral:piRNA from 1 species
UGCAUUGUGUGAGCCGGAAUC